rnacentral:rRNA from 1 species
GACGAACGCUGGCGGCGCGCCUAACACAUGCAAGUCGAACGAGAGAUGAGGAGCUUGCUCUUCAAAUCGAGUGGCGAACGGGUGAGUAACGCGUGAGGAACCUGCCUCAAAGAGGGGGACAACAGUUGGAAACGACUGCUAAUACCGCAUAAGCCCACGGCUCGGCAUCGAGCAGAGGGAAAAGGAGCAAUCCGCUUUGAGAUGGCCUCGCGUCCGAUUAGCUAGUUGGUGAGGUAACGGCCCACCAAGGCGACGAUCGGUAGCCGGACUGAGAGGUUGAGCGGCCACAUUGGGACUGAGACACGGCCCAGACUCCUACGGGAGGCAGCAGUGGGGAAUAUUGCACAAUGGGGGAAACCCUGAUGCAGCGACGCCGCGUGGAGGAAGAAGGUCUUCGGAUUGUAAACUCCUGUUGUUGAGGAAGAUAAUGACGGUACUCAACAAGGAAGUGACGGCUAACUACGUGCCAGCAGCCGCGGUAAAACGUAGGUCACAAGCGUUGUCCGGAAUUACUGGGUGUAAAGGGAGCGCAGGCGGGAGAACAAGUUGGAAGUGAAAUCCAUGGGCUCAACCCAUGAACUGCUUUCAAAACUGUUUUUCUUGAGUAGUGCAGAGGUAGGCGGAAUUCCCGGUGUAGCGGUGGAAUGCGUAGAUAUCGGGAGGAACACCAGUGGCGAAGGCGGCCUACUGGGCACCAACUGACGCUGAGGCUCGAAAGUGUGGGUAGCAAACAGGAUUAGAUACCCUGGUAGUCCACACCGUAAACGAUGAUUACUAGGUGUUGGAGGAUUGACCCCUUCAGUGCCGCAGUUAACACAAUAAGUAAUCCACCUGGGGAGUACGACCGCAAGGUUGAAACUCAAAGGAAUUGACGGGGGCCCGCACAAGCAGUGGAGUAUGUGGUUUAAUUCGACGCAACGCGAAGAACCUUACCAAGUCUUGACAUCCCUUGACGAUGCUGGAAACAGUAUUUCUCUUCGGAGCAAGGAGACAGGUGGUGCAUGGUUGUCGUCAGCUCGUGUCGUGAGAUGUUGGGUUAAGUCCCGCAACGAGCGCAACCCUUAUGGUCAGUUACUACGCAAGAGGACUCUGGCCAGACUGCCGUUGACAAAACGGAGGAAGGUGGGGAUGACGUCAAAUCAUCAUGCCCUUUAUGACUUGGGCUACACACGUACUACAAUGGCGUUAAACAAAGAGAAGCAAGACCGCGAGGUGGAGCAAAACUCAGAAACAACGUCCCAGUUCGGACUGCAGGCUGCAACUCGCCUGCACGAAGUCGGAAUUGCUAGUAAUCGUGGAUCAGCAUGCCACGGUGAAAUACGUUCCCGGGCCUU